UGGGGAAUUUUGGACAAUGGGGGAAACCCUGAUCCAGCCAUCCCGCGUGUGCGAUGAAGGCCUUCGGGUUGUAAAGCACUUUUGGCAGGAAAGAAACGUCAUGGGUUAAUACCCCGUGAAACUGACGGUACCUGCAGAAUAAGCACCGGCUAACUACGUGCCAGCAGCCGCGGUAAUACGUAGGGUGCAAGCGUUAAUCGGAAUUACUGGGCGUAAAGCGUGCGCAGGCGGUUCGGAAAGAAAGAUGUGAAAUCCCAGAGCUCAACUUUGGAACUGCAUUUUUAACUACCGGGCUAGGGUGUGUCAGAGUGAGGUGGAAUUCCGCGUGUAGCAGUGAAAUGCGUAGAUAUGCGGAGGAACACCGAUGGCGAAGGCAGCCUCCUGGGAUAACACUGACGCUCAUGCACGAAAGCGUGGGGAGCAAACAGG
rnacentral:rRNA from 1 species